UACGAAGGGGGCUAGCGUUGUUCGGAAUUACUGGGCGUAAAGGGCGCGUAGGCGGCUUCGAUAGUCAGGCGUGAAAGGCCUGGGCUCAACCCAGGAACUGCGCUUGAUACUGUGAGGCUAGAGUGUGGGAGAGGAUGGUGGAAUUCCCAGUGUAGAGGUGAAAUUCGUAGAUAUUGGGAAGAACACCGGUGGCGAAGGCGACCAUCUGGACCACUACUGACGCUGAGGCGCGAAGGCGUGGGGAGCAAACAGG
rnacentral:rRNA from 1 species